rnacentral:misc_RNA from 1 species
CGAGCUGCUCGCAUUUCGUUACGUACAGCGAUCGUGUUCGGGAACGCUGCCAGCCCGGUCUUUGUGGCCGCCGACGACACCUAUACACAUCUGGACACAAAACAACAUACAUUUCCCCCCAUCAUAUUGGCAUAAAUUUAGUGUCAGGCCAGGAAAAUGUCGGGGGAUGUGCAGCCGCGAAAGCGCAAGGAUAAGCGCAGAAAACGCGAUGAUCGCAAAUCUGACGGCGAUGUGACUGUUCUGCGUCAGUCCAGCUUCCAAGAUGACGACGAGUCUUCCCAUGGCGUCCACAUUACGAAGAUGGGAAAUGACGAUGUACACUUGCACGUGCAUCACGAGCACGACACCGGUGGCAAUUGGUGUGCCAAGAUCAUAUUCUUCUCUCUGAUGGCAGUUCUCUUGGGCCUCGUAGGCCUAAUCAUCUUGGAGAAUCGUGGCCUUGAAGAUAUGGACACUCCGUUAUCUGAGUCGCGCUUCUCAAACUAUUUUAAUGGUUUGGUCGACGAGCAUCGAGGGGAGCAUGAUGCCCAUGACGUACACAAACCUUCUGGAGAGGCUUUGGAUGAGCAUGAUGAUCAUGACGAUCACGAUGAAGAAGAAGAACCCCUUUCGGAGGAAAUAGAAGAGGAAGAAGAGGAUGAUGAUCAUGAUCAUGACGAUCACGAAGAAGAAGAAGAACCUAUUUCGGAGGAAAUAGAAGAAGAAGACACAGAGCAAGAGCAAGAAGAAGAUGAAAAAGAGGUGGAGCAGGAAGAAGACGACGACGAGGAGGAUAACAAUGCUGGCGAAAACAUCACCGCCGAAGAUCCAGAAGAUGACGCUGAAGACGAAGACAAUGUUGAAGAGGCCACUGUUGAAGCUACCACAGAGGCCACCGCAGAAGCCACCACUGAGUACGAUGUAGAGGAACCCGAAGAAGACGAACCCGAGGACGAUGCCGAAGAUGAAGUGGCAGAAUCGCAGGAGCCAGCUUCUUCUACAGCCAAAUUGGAUGAGGAAGAUGAGGAGGACAACGAUGAGGCUGACGAGGAGGAGAUCGAAGAGCCUGUUCAAUCGAAAGCACAAAGGGUCCCUGCCACAACUAAAUAUGUCAAAGUUGAUAAAUAUGAUGAGGACAAAUACGAUGAUGACGACUUUGAGUCCCUCGAUGAGGAACCCGAAGAUCUGGUGCGGCGAGUGAGAAGACCCGAUCUUGACGAAAGCGAGGAGCAGAAACAAGACGAUGAUGAGGAAGAACCGAAAGAGGGCUCUUCCUGGUUAGCAUCGCUUGCCGUUAAAUUUGGCGUUGGCGUUGCACUUGCCUUAGUUUCACGUCUUGUAUUGAUCAGGAAAAGUCCGAAUACAAUUACAGCUUUGUUUAACUAUUUCCACCAAUCCGAAGACGAGCCGCCCCCACCGGAGGCGAUCAUGAGGCGCCGCCUGACGAUUGCCACGGACGAGGAUCAGAUACCAGACGACCUGGAGGAGAUUCCGCUGCUGGACGAUGAAUAUUCCGAGGAGGAAAUCGAAAUCGAGGAAGAAAUCGAAGUGGAGAUCAGCGACAUCGAAGAAGAGGAUGCCGGUGAUGGUGAUGUGGCAUUGUCGGCCAGCUAUGUGCCCGAGACCUUUGAGCAGAUGAGCUCUAUGUACAAGUCAUCGCCAGAACCAUCAGAUGAAAGGAAGGACAAGGAGCCAGAGGAGACAAACGAACCAAUAAAGCCUUCGGGCUUCAGUGAUCUUUAUGUGGAAUACGAGGACGGGGCUAUUGAGGAUUACGAACACGAUGGAGAGACAGACGAGGAGGACGAGAUAUCCGAUGAGGAAGAGGACGAGAUAUCCGACGUGGAUGAUGCCGAUCUAAUGAGCAGACUGGAGGCCAAGUACGGCCGUCUGCCGGUUAAGGAGUACGAAAGCGAUCCGGACUCCGACGAUCCAACCUGGACACGUAAUUACUAAAUGUACAAUUCACACAGUAUCGCCUCCGUCUCUCGAUGUCCUCCACUGCAUUGACUUAUCCGACAUACUCUCGUAUUGUUUAAGACUCUAAAAUAAUCUCAGUCAUGGCCAUAAGCUACACUCUACUUUAAGACACACCAUCUGAUCCAUAACCGAUCAAAUCAAACCCAAGGAUCCUACCACAGAUGCUCCGGCUUCGGUUCCGGUUCCGGCCGCAGAUGAUUCGUUUCAACAGGAGCUGCGUCAGGCCA